UACGUAGGGUGCAAGCGUUAAUCGGAAUUACUGGGCGUAAAGCGUGCGCAGGCGGCUUCGCAAGACAGAGGUGAAAUCCCCGGGCUCAACCUGGGAACUGCCUUUGUGACUGCGAGGCUUGAGUAUGGCAGAGGGGGAUGGAAUUCCGCGUGUAGCAGUGAAAUGCGUAGAUAUGCGGAGGAACACCGAUGGCGAAGGCAGUCCCCUGGGCCUGUACUGACGCUCAUGCACGAAAGCGUGGGGAGCAAACAGG
rnacentral:rRNA from 1 species